UACGUAGGGGGCAAGCGUUGUUCGGAAUUACUGGGCGUAAAGCGUGUGUAGGCGGUCCACUAAGUCGGGUGUGAAAGCCCUGGGCUCAACCCAGGAAGUGCACUCGAAACUGGCGGGCUAGAGUAUCGGAGAGGUUGGUGGAAUUCUCGGUGUAGAGGUGAAAUUCGUAGAUAUCGAGAGGAACACCGGUGGCGAAGGCGGCCAACUGGACGAAUACUGACGCUGAGACACGAAAGCGUGGGGAGCAAACAGG
rnacentral:rRNA from 1 species